rnacentral:rRNA from 1 species
CCUACGGGGGGCUGCAGCUAAGAAUAUUCCGCAAUGGACGAAAGUCUGACGGAGCGACGCCGCGUGGAUGAAGUAGGCCGAAAGGUUGUAAAAUCCUUUUGUUGGGGAAGAAUAAGCGUGGGAUGGAAUGCCCGCGUGAUGACAUGAACCGACGAAUAAGUCCCGGCUAACUACGUGCCAGCAGCCGCGGUAACACGUAGGGGACAAGCGUUGUUCGGAAUUACUGGGGGUAAAGUGGUAGUCCGGGGCUGAAAGUAACCGGCUCAACCGGUGGAUUGCGUUAGGAACUGCAGAGCUUGAGUCAUGGAGAGGAAGGUAGAAUUCCUGGUGUAGGGGUGAAAUCUGUAGAGAUCAGGAAGAAUACCAGUGGCGAAGGCGACCUUCUGGCCAAUGACUGACGCUGAGGUGCGAAAGUGUGGGGAUCAAACAGGAUUAGAUACCCGGGUAGUC